UAUUUAUGAUGAUUAAAACUUUCACCAUCUUUCGACUGACAACAAACGUUGAUGUUCUAUAAGUUUCACUGAUCAACUUA